GGUAGCUGGAGAUGGUGUCCAUCC
rnacentral:siRNA from 1 species